rnacentral:rRNA from 1 species
CCUACGGGAGGCUGCAGUGGGGAAUAUUGGGCAAUGGGCGCAAGCCUGACCCAGCAACGCCGCGUGAAGGAAGAAGGCUUUCGGGUUGUAAACUUCUUUUAAGAGGGAAGAGUAGAAGACGUUACCUCUUGAAUAAGCCACGGCGAACUACGUGCAAGCAGCCGCGGUAAUAGGUAGGUGGCAAGCGUUGUCCGGAUUUACUGGGUGUAAAGGGCGUGUAGCCGGGCCGGCAAGUCAGAUGUGAAAUCCCAAGGCUCAACCUUGGAACUGCAUUUGAAAUUGUUGGACUAGAGUAUGGGAGAGGCAAGCGGAAUUCCUAGUGUAGCGGUGAAAUGCGUAGAUAUUAGGAGGAACACCAGUGGCGAAGGCGGCCUACUGGACGGAAACUGACGGUGAGGCACGAAAGCGUGGGGAGCAAACAGGAUUAGAUACCCCUGUAGUC